AGACUGAACGCUGGCGGCAUGCCUAACACAUGCAAGUCGAACGGCAGCGCGGGGAGCAAUCCCUGGCGGCGAGUGGCGGACGGGUGAGGAAUACGAUCGGAAUCUACCCUGUCGUGGGGGAUAACCAAGCGAAAGCUUGGCUAAUACCGCAUACGACCGUGAGGUGAAAGCGGAGGACCUUCGGGCUUCGCGCGAUUGGAUGAGCCGAUGUCGGAUUAGCUAGGUUGGCGGGG
rnacentral:rRNA from 1 species